GGCACACAUGCGUAAUUGAGGAUUGAAUUAGGAUUGCACCUUACCUCUGAUGCUCCAUAAAUCUAAGUGCUUGGCUUUGUAAGGGCUGCAGGUAUUCCUGAGGUUUAUGGCACAAAUACUGCUCUGCCACAGACAACAGACUGAAGGAGGAGGAGCUGUUGUAUGCCUUCUGCCCUUGGGUUCAGCCCUGAAGCUGUGGUGCUCUGCCUUCCUGCACGGUGCCUCAGCACAGUCCCUCAGGAAACUUUGCAGAUACUGCUGGGAAGGAGGUGGAGAUUAAAAAGAGGAGAAAUAACAUGGAAGAACUCCUUCAGCAGUGAAAGCUAGAGGAUCAGCGGGUGCAACAGGAGCAUUGCCUGCAGAAUACCUCCAGAGCUGCUAACAUGUUGCUUAGGCUGGAUGUGCACAGGAAAAUUUGGAAA